rnacentral:lncRNA from 1 species
UUUUUUUUUUUCGUUCUAAUUGUUAGUUUCGUGUCUAUAGUAUUGAAAUGGUUGGUAGGAGAUUAAAAAUGCAAAAUACGGUAACUAAUAAUAUUAACUAUUUCUCCCUUAUUACCGUAUGUGGGUAGCACCUCCUAAAUUCCUAAAUUACCAACUCAUGUAUUAUUAUUAUCAUUAAAUUACUGAUUUAUUUGGCAGUCCGCGUUCGAUUAAACAUUAAUUUACAAAUCCUAAUUGAUCGUAAUUUUUUUUUUAAAAAAGAAAAAAUGGGCCUGAGAAAAAUGGGCUUCCCUCCCCAUGAUCCAUGAUAAUCCAUCCUAUCCCAUCUCCCAAUCUCAAUAAUAAAUAAUAAAACCAAAGUCAAAUCAGUAGUCAACCAAAUCAUUUAUUUUAUUUAAAAACAUCCCGGUCAGUCAAACAAAUUUUGACCGGCGCAUCCAUAAUCUUAAAAGCACCGGCGAGUCAUAAAUAUAUCUCCCCGUCGAUCAAACAGCUCCCUCCACCUGACCUUAAUUAUAUAUAUACACAGAGCAUCCCAGAAGAAUAUAUAUAAGAAGUAAGAACACCACCGCCAGCUGCUGCAUCCAUUUGCAACUCAGAAAACAAACAACGCAAUCACGAAAAUCAAAACGAUACAAAAUCCAUAAACGCAACUCCACAGAGAUUACAGAAUUAGCGAGGUGAGGAAGAUCAGCUAGCUGCUUCCUUCAUUUUUUACUUUUUUUUUUUAGUUAAUCAUCAGAAGGAAGGGACGACGCCGAAAGACCCGUACAUACUACGGUCUGCUUCAACCUCCAUAUCUUUGCGCUUCGCGAACCUUCCUUUGAUUCUCGGCCUCGUCUCUGCGUACGCUUUCCUCGAUGCGUACCGAAUCGUCUUCUCGAACUUCCUAUUCUUCCUCUUCUCCCUGUACCUCAUUACCCUUGCCUCCCUAUCCGCCGCCGACAACGGAACCGCCUGGCUCACUGCCGAAUCCGCCGCCGGAUUCGACAUCUCCGUCAUUGCGCAUCCUUCCGGUACGACUCCCACGUCUAUUGACGAUGAUGAUACCUGAACGCCGGAGUAUUCGUUCACAACUAAUUCAAUUAAUUAAAUUAACCAAACAACAAAAAAGAUGAAAAAAAAGAGAAAGUAACUCACGCUGUGGCUCAAGCAUUGAGCGGUGUAUCCGUAAGCAGCGAAAGCCUUGGAUCCAUCGGCGGAGAAAUCAAACUCGAAGUAGUGGUCAUUCAUAUUCAUGACGGGAGCAUGACCACCACCAACAUGAGGCACAACUCCGUCGGAUCCUGAACUAUUCUGCUCCUGCGCUUCAAUUUUUGGAUCCACCGUCGUUCCGUAGUCCAGAUCCAGGUACGGAUCCAUUUCUCCGAACAAGAACUGGCCGGUGUUCAGCUCCGGAUCAGAAGACUGAUUAUCCAUCGCCUUGUUGCUCCCCGGGUUGGGGAGCAGCCACGAAGCAGCCUCGGCUUCCUCCCUGCUAACAUCAUCGUCUCCGUCGACGUCGUUGGCGAAGUAACGGUCGUCGAGGAAGUUAACCGCGACAGCAGCAGCCGCGGCGGAGGACUUGACCGCGGUAGGAGUGUCGCCGGAGGAGACGGAAGCGUAGAAGGGGACGAUCGGAACACGCUCGUGGCGGCGGGCGAGCGGGUUAGCAGAGUGUAUGUCACGGUCGCAGGAAACGCAGAGAGCAGCGGCGUCGGCCUUGCAGGUGACGUGGGCUGGGGCCUGCUCGCAAACCUCGCAGACCCAGACGCGCGGGUGGCGAGAGGCCAGCUUGUUGGCGGCGUGGAUCUUGGAGUCGCAGCUGACGCAGAGAAAGGCGGAGUCCGGACGGCAGAAGAUCGCGGCGGGGGCGGACUUGCAGGAAUCGCAGAGCUUGGAAGCCAUAAUUGUUCGUUGUUGGCAGAGAGAUAAGGAAGGACACAGCUGGUGGGUAGUGGUGAUAGUAGCUGAGGUGUUCGGCUCACGGGGAAUAGUAUACGCUUCGGGUCUAUCCGGCGGGCCAGGGGCGAUCUGACUGUAACCCAAUAAAAAACGGACACGUAAGCUGGGACUUAGCCAAACUGGAAACACUAUUUACCUUUGCGCUCAAGGAGGGGAAGGGAAAUUGCCAAUUGGAGUGUGGAAAAGUAGGCGGACCCAGUGCCCACGUGGGUCGUGGGCCCUUGGAGGUGCUGCCCGUAUGGGCUUGUGGAAGUGUAAAUGGGCCAUCGGGAAAAAAGACAAGAAACUUUGUGGAGAUGGGCCCGAGUGGAGGGACCAAGUUGGAAACUGGGGAUAGAUUGGAUGUUGGUCGUAUUAAUUGAAAGUUAUAGCACAAAGUUGUAAUUGAUUGAUGGGAAGGGAUGAUGUUCGGGAGGAUAAGUAGAGCAAACUCCACUUAUGAUGAAAAUAUAAUAUUUUCUGAAACAAAUAUUUGAAAUUAGAAAACAAAUUCAUUUUUCGCAGUUUGUUUUUUACUCCGUAUAUUUCAUUUUUACAAAAUAAUUUGUUUCAACCAUUUGCGACAAUUUAUGAUGGUUUCGUCCAUAAUUAGUGGCAAAAAUUAUAUGUCAAAAUUUUAAAAAAUUAUAUUAAAAUUUUCGUCUUAAUUAAGAGCUGCUAUAUAGAAAUUAUGAACGAAUUAUAUAUUUAAAGUGACAAAAUCAACAUUAUAUUCGGGUCAGAUAAAAAAUUAAAUAAAUAUAAUCAAAUUUAACUANNNNNNNNNNNNNNNNNNNNNNUUCGAGUAAGAAAAAAAAUAAAAAAAAAAAAACAAAUUUUAACAAUACCACCAUUGAAGAAAACCAUCAAUUCUCGAAGCUGAAAUUACCAAAUUUUAAUAAUUUUGCUCAUGAUAGAGAUGGUCUUAGAUAAGAGUCGGCGUCUCCCGCUGAAUUCAGCUUAAUUUGGGGCAUAAGGGUGUUUCCGUAACUUCACAUUAAAGUUUCAUUUAAUUGAUUUNNNNNNNNNNNNNNNNNNNNNNNNNNNNNNNNNNNNNNNNNNNNNNNNNNNNNNNNNNNNNNNNNNNNNNNNNNNNNNNNNNNNNNNNNNNNNNNNNNNNNNNNNNNNNNNNNNNNNNNNNNNNNNNNNNNUUUGCGUCAAAUUCUUAGUUUUUUAAAAGCGAUUAAAAUAAACAUAAUUAUGAUAUAAUUUCGAUAAAUAUUUUUUUCAAAGUCAAACGGAUGAAUUGACUACCUCAAAACUAAACUUGAUAAUUAUCACUAAUUUAAAGUUAAUUAUUAAUAAUUUAAACAUAAUUAUCUAUUAACAAUUUAGACAUUCCUACUCAUAAUUUUAAAAUGUAUAUUUAGUUAUUUGGUAACUAAUUGAAAAGAAUUUGAUUCAUUUCUUUAACAAUUGUUAUAUUUUGUUGUUGUGUUAACAACACAAUUUGUCUUUGGUCCUUUAUAAGUGGUAUUUGGAAUUUUAUAAUAUUAGAAAUAUAAAUAUAAGAUGGAAAAAAAUAUUAUAGUAUGUUAUUAUAACUUGUAAACCAUCAUUUAUAAGAUCCGAAUCAUAAUUUUGGAACAUAAUCUUCAAAAUCCAUUCAACCUCCUCCUUGGUACGAAAAGGACAGCACAUGUUUAUUGCACGUGUUUUUAGUGUGGCAUGGGUUGGGAUACGGUUGGGAAUCGGACCGGGUGUAAUCGGGUUUCUAUCUGAUCAGUCUGUCAAAUCGAAUUUUAAAUAUCCGAAAGCUGAUUAAUAUUAAUUUUAAAUCAGGUUUGGAUUGAAAAAAGUGUGAUUUUGGAUUUUAAAUUUUAAAUUUUUCGAAUUUAAAAUUGAUUAAAUCCAAUUUAACUCAAACCCGACAUAUUUAAAUAAAAGUAUAAAAUUAUAAUAAUAUAGUUUGAGAACUCUAGAAUCUUCAAAAUCAAUGUAACUGAAGAAGAUAUAUAUAUAAAAAGGGAGGAUUUCAGAAUCUUUGUAUAGAUCUGUUUCCUGAUUAUCUUUUCAUAUCUAAUUAAGAAUGAAUGAGGAAAAGUGAUUGAAUAAAAAAACUAUAAAAAACCUCGAAAUGUUACGAAUUAUUUCACGAUUAUUAAAAUCUACACGACCUAUCGAUAAUUGCAUCCGUAUCACGAACUACCGAUUUUCCGUCCACGGGAAUGUCAUGCCGUCUCUAUUCUUCAAAUUCCGUCUUCUCCCCAUGUCACGUGGGCGUUGACCGCCAACUCAGCUCACACAAUCAGCAUUUCAUGGGAAUGUCAUGACGGUAUGAUAUUUUUUUGGACGGAAUAUAAUUAUUGAUAGGUCGUCGUGUAUAUUCUGAUAAUUAUGAAAUAAUUCGUGACAGUGACAUACUGAGAUUUUUUGUCAAAAAGAAAAGAAAAGGAAAAGAUUGAACACAUAUAAUGAGGGUUUAGUUAGUAAGGUUUAGUUGUUGUCAUUUUUUGUGCAAAAUUUAUACCGUGUAUGACUGGAAGAUCUUUGAAAGUCCAUCAUCAAUGGUCAAGAUCUGACCUAACCCGCCCUUACCUCUCACAACCCAACCCGUAAAAUAUGAAGGUACCUUAUAUAAAACCCCUCAACCACCACAUUCAAGACUCGUACAUACAACCAAAAUAGAACUCGCACAACACUCUUUCCAUGACUAAUAAUCAUCGUGACUAACACGAACCCAACCUGUGGAAGCUGGCAUAUUUCAGGGUCCUAUUAUUUGUGCAGCAUAGUAGCUAGAUUAUUGAAAGAAAGAGCAGCUACAUUAUAACACACAAGAAACGUUACCUAAAGUUUCAAGACAACCACCAUUCACUCAGGUAGGUCUAAGAUGAGAUCAAUUCUUGAUCGCAAACUGAAAUGGAUGCUAAACGGGGCCUAACGAGUCGCACAUAGAAUACUCUGUAUUAAUUUGCCGCACAUAGAAAACUCUGUAUUAAUUUGCAAAAACAGUAUACAAACUCAUUGGACCUCUUGUCUCUAACAACAAAGUGUAACAAAACAAAGACACCAAGAUAGAAUCGACAAGAAAAAAAGCAAGAGUACAAUUAAUUAAUCAUAGUAACAACACUUUUCCCUCCUUCUUGCAUUGUCCACCAGGAUUCACUCUCAACUUACUUAACUACCACCUGACUUGAGAGUAUUACUCAAC